UAUAGGAAGUUGUAAAACCUAUAUUGGGACACGGAAUAUUUACGCAACAUUGGCGCUUAUUUCAUACUUUCAAAACGAAACUGCCACCUAGCGGAAAAUUAACUCACUACAUUAAGGAAGCAUGUCCUAGGACUGGGUCAGAUGCGGCAACAUUAAAAACAAAACAAAGAAAUAAUAAUCAAAUCAUACGCAAUAUCCACCGGUUGGUAGAAAACCAAGUCAAUAUUAUUAGGAUCAUAUGGCCCGUCUGAAAUUCAGUUUAAAAUUAAACAAACAUGCCAACGAAUAAAAAUGCUUCUAACCGAUGAAAAUAGUCAUCAAAAAGGUAUAAGGUUAACUAUUGUUGACCAGUGAUGAUGAACACCUCCAAAUAUUUUGUUUAUAAUAGGAUUGAUUAACGAGGAUUUACUCAUUUCCUUUUGGGCAAACAAAUUAUAAAUGAUUGAAUUGUGUAUUCUAUGUACUUAUGCAAAUAAAUUAAAUUAAUAUAUACUUUUAUAAAUACAAUGUAAA